UGAUCCUGGCUCAGGACGAACGCUGGCGGCGUGCUUAACACAUGCAAGUCGAGCGAGGCCCGCUCUUCGGGGUGGUGCCCUAUCGGCGAACGGGUGAGUAACACGUGGGCAACCUGCCCUCAGCUCUGGGAUAACUCCAAGAAACUGGUGCUAAUACCGGAUGUGACCGCUGACCGCAUGGUCUGGUGGUGGAAAGAUUCAUCGGCUGAGGAUGGGCCCGCGGCCUAUCAGCUUGUUGGUGGGGUGAUGGCCUACCAAGUCGACGACGGGUAGCCGGCCUGAGAGGGUGACCGGCCACACUGGGACUGAGACACGGCCCAGACUCCUACGGGAGGCAGCAGUGGGGAAUAUUGCGCAAUGGGCGGAAGCCUGACGCAGCGACGCCGCGUGGGGGAUGACGGCCUUCGGGUUGUAAACCUCUUUCAGUAGGGACGAAGCGCAAGUGACGGUACCUACAGAAGAAGCACCGGCCAACUACGUGCCAGCAGCCGCGGUAAUACGUAGGGUGCAAGCGUUGUCCGGAAUUAUUGGGCGUAAAGAGCUCGUAGGCGGUCUGUCGCGUCGGCUGUGAAAACCCGAGGCUCAACCUCGGGCCUGCAGUCGAUACGGGCAAACUAGAGUGUUGCAGGGGAGACUGGAAUUCCUGGUGUAGCGGUGAAAUGCGCAGAUAUCAGGAGGAACACCGGUGGCGAAGGCGGGUCUCUGGGCAACAACUGACGCUGAGGAGCGAAAGCGUGGCGAGCGAACAGGAUUAGAUACCCUGGUAGUCCACGCCGUAAACGUUGGGCGCUAGGUGUGGGGGCCAUUCCACGGUCUCCGUGCCGCAGCUAACGCAUUAAGCGCCCCGCCUGGGGAGUACGGCCGCAAGGAUAAAACUCAAAGGAAUUGACGGAGGCCCGCACAAGCGGCGGAGCAUGUUGCUUAAUUCGAUGCAACGCGAAGAACCUUACCUAGGCUUGACAUGCACGGAAAUCUGUCAGAGAUGGGAGGUCCUUUGGGGUCGUGCACAGGUGGUGCAUGGUUGUCGCCAGCUCGUGUCGUGAGAUGUUGGGUUAAGUCCCGCAACGAGCGCAACCCUCGUUCUAUGUUGCCAGCGGAUAAUGCCGGGGACUCAUAGGAGACUGCCGGGGUCAACUCGGAGGAAGGUGGGGAUGACGUCAAAUCAUCAUGCCCCUUAUGUCUAGGGCUGCAAACAUGCUACAAUGGCCGGUACAAAGGGCUGCGAUACCGUGAGGUGGAGCGAAUCCCAAAAAGCCGGUCUCAGUUCGGAUUGGGGUCUGCAACUCGACCCCAUGAAGUUGGAGUCGCUAGUAAUCGCAGAUCAGCAACGCUGCGGUGAAUACGUUCCCGGGCCUUGUACACACCGCCCGUCACGUCACGAAAGUCGGUAACGCCCGAAGCCGGUGGCCCAACCCCUUUGUGGGAGGGAGCCGUCGAAGGCGGGAUCGGCGAUUGGGACGAAGUCGUAACAAGGUAGCCGUA
rnacentral:rRNA from 1 species